ACUUCUUAGAGGGACAGACGGCGUCUAGCCGUACGAAAUUGAGCAAUAACAGGUCUGUGAUGCCCUUAGAUGUCCGGGGCUGCACGCGCGCUACACUGUAGAAAUCAGCGUGCUUCAAAACCUUCUCUGAAAGGAGUGGGUAACCCAAGGAAACUUCUACGUGCUUGGGAUAGAGAUUUGCAAUUAUCUCUCUUGAACGAGGAAUUCCCAGUAAGUGCGGGUCAUCAGCUCGCGUUGAUUACGUCCCUGCCCUUUGUACUGAGCG
rnacentral:rRNA from 1 species